UACGUAGGGGGCGAGCGUUGUUCGGAAUUACUGGGCGUAAAGGGCGUGUAGGCGGUGCGGUAAGUCGGACGUGAAAUCCCCGGGCUCAACUCGGGGGGGUCGUUCGGGACUGCCGUGCUAGAGUGCGGGAGAGGGAAGUGGAAUUCCCGGUGUAGCGGUGAAAUGCGUAGAUAUCGGGAAGAACACCGGUGGCGAAGGCGGCUUCCUGGCCCGCAACUGACGCUGAGGCGCGAAAGCUAGGGGAGCAAACAGGAUUAGAUACCCUGGUAGUCCUAGCCCUAAACGAUGAGCACUUGGUGUAGCCCUUCACCGGGCUGUGCCGGAGCUAACGCGUUAAGUGCUCCGCCUGGGGAGUACGGUCGCAAGGCUGAA
rnacentral:rRNA from 1 species